UCGAAUCUCAACUUCGAAAUCCAAACACACCCAUUAUCUCCCAAACAAGGUUUCACCAAAUCGACCCAAGAGUUUCUCGACAACCUCAUCACCGCCGCGCAAAAUUUCCACCUAACCGGAAUCCGUCUAUUUCAGGACUUGGAAUGCAAGUUGGUUCAGGUAGAGUUGGGCACUGCUUGAGCACUUUUGGGCAAAUUGUCUGCCAACUUCCCAGAAACACCAAACUCUCGCUUCUUGGUCUUCACCAAAUGCCCAAAUCAUCAAAUGAACAUGUCAGUCACAGAGCUCGUUCCGUGCCAUUAGGCGUUUACAUUGAUUUGGGACAGGUAAAAAAAGUUUGGGAGCGUUAUGCAUGGAUUUUGUGCAUUAUACAUUGCAUGGAAUUUCAGUUUAGGUGACUUGUAAAGUUGUAAUAUACUGUAAUGUCUGAUUACUCCAGAUAGGUUAUAGGCGGUUUCUUCUUAAUUCAGGCGCAUCAUCUCAUUGUAGUUGGUAGAUGUUUUCCUUUCAUACAUUUAUCAUUUAUGCAGUCGUUUCCUACAACAAGAAAUAUAUUGAAACCAAUAUGUUAUUUAAC